CCUACGGGGGGCAGCAGUCGAGAAUCAUUCACAAUGGGGGAAACCCUGAUGGUGCGACGCCGCGUGGGGGAAUGAAGGUCUUCGGAUUGUAAACCCCUGUCAUGUGGGAGCAAAUUAAAAAGAUAGUACCACAAGAGGAAGAGACGGCUAACUCGGUGCCAGCAGCCGCGGUAAUACAGAGGUCUCAAGCGUUGUUCGGAAUCACUGGGCUUAAAGCGUGCGUAGGCUGUUUCGUAAGUCGUGUGUGAAAGGCGCGGGCUCAACCCGCGGACGGCACAUGAUACUGCGAGACUAGAGUAAUGUAGGGGGAAGCGGAAUUCUAGGUGUAGCAGUGAAAUGCGUAGAGAUCGAGAGGAACACUCGUGGCGAAGGCGGGUUCCUGGACAUUAACUGACGCUGAGGCACGAAGGCCAGGGGAGCGAAAGGGAUUAGAUACCCUAGUAGUC
rnacentral:rRNA from 1 species